rnacentral:tRNA from 1 species
GCCCUCGUAGCUCAGCGGACCGAGCAGCUGGUUUCGACCCAGCAGGCCGGAGGUUCGAAUCCUCCCGAGGGCG